rnacentral:rRNA from 1 species
CAGUAGCCGCGGUAAUACGUAGGGUGCAAGCGUUAAUCGGAAUUACUGGGCGUAAAGCGUGCGCAGGCGGUUUGUUAAGACAGAUGUGAAAUCCCCGGGCUCAACCUGGGAACUGCAUUUGUGACUGGCAAGCUAGAGUCUGGCAGAGGGGGGUGGAAUUCCGCGUGUAGCAGUGAAAUUCGUAGAUAUGCGGAGGAACACCGAUGGCGAAGGCAGCCCCCUGGGCCAACACUGACGCUCAUGCACGAAAGCGUGGGGAGCAAACAGGAUUAGAUACCCCGGUAGUCCCUGUCUCUUAUAC